CGACCGGCGCACGGGUGAGUAACGCGUAUGCAACCUGCCUGAUACCGGGGUAUAGCCCAUGGAAACGUGGAUUAACACCCCAUAGUACUUUUAUCCUGCAUGGGAUGUGAGUUAAAUGUUCAAGGUAUCGGAUGGGCAUGCGUCCAUUAGUUAGUUGGCGGGGUAACAGCCCACCAAGACGAUGAUAGGUAGGGGUUCUGAGAGGAAGGUCCCCCACAUUGGAACUGAGACACGGUCCAA
rnacentral:rRNA from 1 species